rnacentral:rRNA from 1 species
GUACCGUGAGGGAAAGGUGAAAAGUACCCUGAAUAAGGGGGUGAAAUAGUACCUGAAACCAUACGCUUACAAGCGGUCGGAGCUCCUUUGUGGGGUAACGGCGUGCCUUUUGCAUAAUGAGCCUACGAGUUAGUGUUGUUGGCAAGGUUAAUACAUUAAGUGUUGAAGCCGAAGCGAAAGCGAGUCUUAACAGGGCGAUCAGUCAGCAGUACUAGACGCGAAACUUUGUGAUCUACCCAUGACCAGGGUGAAGUGUAGGUAACACUACAUGGAGGCCCGAACCAGUUGACGUUGAAA